AAAAUAUAUUAAAAUUAACUUAAAUUAUUUAUAUUUUAAUCUAUUUUUAACUGUUUUUUUACUAUUAUAUAUUUGGUCAAAAAAUGGGCAAAACACGUUAGGCCCGUUAGGGGUUCGGUUUUUUGGUUUGUUUGAACAGUUUUUAUAAAUUUUUUAAAAAACAAUUUUUGCAUAAUAAAAUACUGAAAAUCCAACUUUUUAACUUAAUUUGACUUUUAUCCAAUGUAUAUAUAACUAGUUAUAUACAUUGCUUUUAUUUCACCUGUUUGGAAUUCGGUGGUUCCCCACAUUUUGCUGUUAUUGUUUUUUUACUUUCUUCAAUUUCGAAGCACCAGGCGUCGGGUUAGCUGCAUUUGAUUGCAGUUGUACAAAGCCGAGGAACCGGACCCACAGUGACCCACGUUUUUUGUCACCCCAAAAAUACCCUAACCAACAACUAACCGAGCCUCGUGCUCUCUUUUUCAUCCCCAUAUCUAAACAUCAUUCUGAUUAAUGAUUUUUUUGAUAAAAUGUUAACUGUUAAUUCCAACUACGGUUGGCUUGCCGCGAAAUUGUAUUCCUGAACUUACAAUUCGGACCUUAUUUUUCCACUUAAACCCAUUAUGUCAUCGUGUUGUUAAAAUCUCGCACGGAAUACAUGGUAAA